rnacentral:lncRNA from 1 species
GAAGGAUGAAAAAGGGAAAAAAGAAGGAAGAGAAAACAGCAAGUGGUGUUGAGAGCUCCAACAACAAUCGACCACGGCAAGACUAGUAUAUAAAUUGAGGUUUUGGGAAAUCGAGAAUUCGUAAAUUGCGGAUUGUAGUAAUUUAUUGAUCGGUAAGAAUUAUAUUUUUUUAUUUAAUCAAUUUUUUUAAAAUUAUUUAAUUUACUGUUUUUUUUAAUAAAAAGUAGUAAUUAACAAUUUGCAUAAAUAAAAUAAUGAAUCAAUUUUCAUGAAAAAUGUUAAUUUUUUUAAUGAUAAAUAAUUAUAAAUCAAUUAUUAAUUUGCAUGAAAUUAUAGGUUAAUAAUUACUAUUUUAUAUUCUUAAAAAAAAUGUCAAUUAUUUUAGGUUAAUAAUUAUUGAUUAUUUAUUUAAAAUUUAAUUUACUGAUUUUCUUCUCUUUUUUACUUUAGAUUGUUAAAAUGCCUCGGAAGAGGCCACCGCAACUUAUUUCUCAAGAUGUUUUCCGGUUUUAUCUUCCAGUUCAUCCCGCACUUGUUCGUCCAACACCGACACUUGCUCGUCCAACAUCGGUAACGGCCUCUCUCGUUCCGAAACCAGCAACUCCAAAUUUUUUUUUCUUUUGAAUCCGAUUCAGACUAGUAGAUAUAGGAUUAUCGGUAAAUGAACUUAAUUUAAACUAUGUAAUAGUGAAUUAAGUAUUAAUAGUACUUU